UGGUGACUAAAGAUGUGGCUGGGCUC
rnacentral:piRNA from 1 species